AUGACCUCCGGCCCGCCGUCGCCUUCCGGCAAGGCUUACUCCCGCAAAUCUCACGGCCCCGGCCCCAAAUCCUCCAAGGCCCGCUCCUUCGACGCUCACAAUGGCCCGCUGAUCCCCACCGUCACCUUCUCGCUCCCCUCGACGCCGGCCACGCGACGAGAGCUCCGGCGCCGCCUCUCCGCGGAGCUCGCACAGGUGCGCGCCGCCUACAAGCGCAUAAGCUCCCUCCCCGCUCCCGCCCCCUCCUCCGCGCUCUCCGCCACUGACCCCUCCACCCCGCUCCCGCCGCACCCGUCCGUCUCCAAGCACAAGUCCAAGAAGGGUCCCCCGAACCCGUCCGGCUCGGCGGAGGCGCGGCGCAAGCUCUACGCUCCCGUGUUCAGGAGCUGCGCCGUGGUGCUUGCGAGGCUGAUGAAGCACAAGCACGGCUGGGUGUUCAACGUGCCGGUCGACGCCAGCGCGCUUGGCCUGCACGAUUACCACACCAUCAUCACCAAGCCCAUGGACCUCGGCACCGUCAAGUCACGGCUGGCCGCCGGGCACUACAAGUCGCCGCGGGAGUUCGCAACAGAAGUCCGUCUGACUUUUCAGAACGCCAUGAAGUACAACCCCAAGGGGCAGGAUGUGUAUUUCAUGGCCGAGCAGCUUCUAAAUAUGUUCGAGGAGAAGUGGCCAGAGAUUGAAGCUGAGAUGGCACAGCUGUCACCGCAGCCACACACACCAUCAUCUGCCCCACCCAAGAAGCAGAAGCAGAGGGAGAGGGAGAGAGAGAGGGAGAUGGAUAAUGCUAGAGUACUAGAGAGGUCUGACUCCACAGCGCAUGCUGCAGCAUUGGAGGCUCCCCCGAAGCCGCACACUGGUACCGCCAGACCCCCAGUUUUAAAGAAGCCAAAGGCAAGGGAUCCUAAUAAGAGGGAGAUGACGUUCUGGGAGAAGCAGCGGCUUAGUAACGACCUCCAGGACUUGCCAGCUGAGAAGCUCGAUAAUGUUGUACAGAUCAUAAAGAAGAGGAACUCAUCACUCAAUCAGCAUGACGAUGAGAUUGAGGUUGAUAUAGAUAGCUUUGAUGUUGAGACAUUAUGGGAGCUUGAUAGGUUUGUGACAAACUACAAGAAAAGUAUAACCAAGAAUAAGCGGAAGGCCGAGCUUUCCGUAGUAAGGCAGGAUGAGUCCGACCAUGAGCCGGAUUUGGAGAAGAUUGAGCAUGCAAGGCAUGAUGAGGGAGAGCAGGAUCAGAUGCGCACAGUACACAAUACGAUCCCAGAACCAGAAGCAGUUGAUGUAGUUGAUGUGGUUGAUGUUGAACCACCUAUGGUUGAAGCUGAACCACAUAAGGAAAUUGCAGCAGAUGACAAUGGGAGAUAUAUGGGUUCAUCAUCACCUGCUCAUUUGGAAGAUCAGAAAGGAGAUAAUGUCGGUAGAUCAAGUAGUUCUGGAAGCUCUAGCAGUGAAUCAGGGUCUUCCUCCAGUGAUACGGAUUCUGAUAGUUCAUCAGCAGAUGGAUCUGAUGCUGCACAGUCACCCAAAUCGUAA
rnacentral:rRNA from 1 species